rnacentral:rRNA from 1 species
UACGGGGGGGGCAAGCGUUGUUCGGAAUUACUGGGCGUAAAGGGCGCGUAGGCGGUCUGUUAAGUUGGAUGUGAAAACUCUGGGCUCAACCCAGAGCCUGCAUCCAAAACUGGCAGGCUAGAGUUCUGGAGGGGAAAGCGGAAUUCCUGGUGUAGCGGUGAAAUGCGUAGAUAUCAGGAGGAACACCGGUGGCGAAGGCGGCUUUCUGGACAGAAACUGACGCUGAGGCGCGAAAGCUAGGGGAGCAAACAGG